CACCAGAACAAAUUAAGUUCUUAAUCCGAGGUACCACUGUAGUGCGCAUCAUGAACAAACAAGUGGUUUUCAGAAGUCAUUUGCAAAGGAUGUGUGGAACCUGGUUGCAACCAUAGACAAGAUAGGGAGUCCGCAGCUGAAUGACAGUGAUGAUCUCUUUUUAAAGAGACACAGGAGUGAUUGGCAGUGCUAAAAGCAGAUUGUCCCUUCCAAUGUAUGCCAUUUGCCUGUCAUGCUUUGGUUGUGUACUAUGUAUAAUUUAACACCAGAGGAUAAAUCACUUGCAUUUUGUAUGGGUGAUAAUUUGCUUUCAAAAUGUUUUGCUUUUAUACAGCACCUCAAGCUUCUUGAAAAUCACUCAUAUUGGCGACUUCAUAAUAAGUACUGUCUAACCUUUUCUGUUAACCUGUGACACUUAACGUGACGGGAAUAGCUAUAUAGCAAAUUGAAUAUUAAUCCACAGCACAAAGCCAUUCUGUUUCACCACUCUGGCCAAGGUCAGUCCGAGAGAGCUGUCAAAAAGGUUAGCUAGCAUGGAACCGUGGACUGUUUCAUGCUGUCAUUACUAAUGCACAUUCUUUGAUAAAUGAAUGACUUCAAGUUUCUAAUAUAAAUCCGGUAGCUUUGCAUAGUGCAUUGAGGGCAAGGGUGCCCAAGCAUGUCCAUGAUGGUUGUGUGAUCUUUCUGGGCAGCAUCUACUUUUGGAGUUAGAUUGUACUUAUGAAAAUCUUCGUAAAUGCAAGUAGAGUUUUUCCAGUGGGGAUGUGCCAGGCAGCUUGUCACUCUGCCCACAUGUGCCUAAGGAUAGAUAUGUUCUGGGGUGCUUACUAAUGAGUAGUUGUACAUAUGAGUAGAUGUAUCAAGUGCUUGAAGUGCUCAUUUGCAGGUAGAUACACUUGUGAGUGGGUGUGUCACAAUUCCUCACAAAAUGAAUAUACAAAAUGCACAACAAUACAUCCAACGAGGGUUAUGCUGCAGAACCCUGCAGAAGCAGCAUUGACACUAAAGAUUAAUGAACCAUUUUUGUGUAAUUAACAACAUCCAGAACAUGCUUCUAUCAGCCUUUUUUCAGCUGGCAGCUGAUCCAGCAGGUAGAUACACUCCAUUGCCUUCCCAAAUUAAAACUGCAUUUUAAAAUUCCUCAGUAGAGGGAACACGGAAGGAAGAAAUUAGCACUACGUGGAAUAUUAUUUAUUUCAUUUGCUUGUUUGCUUGUGUGCCAACCAUGUUUAUAUGGCAGAACGUUGUCUAGAUUAUAAUAGACGUUUUGGAAGUUGGCGUAUUCAAUCUUCCUUUUAUUACAUACCCAGAAAAUACAUGUUACACAAGUGGUCAUCGUUACACUUUGAGUGAGACGUGGGUGGCACUGUGGUCUAAACCACUGAGCCUCUGCGGCUUGCCGAUCAGAAGGUUGGCUGUUCAAAUCUGCACAAUGGGGUGAGCUCCUGUUGCUCUGUCCCAGCUUCUGCCAUCCUAGCAGUUCGAAAGCACACCAGUGCAAGUAGAUAAAUAGGUACCACUAUGGUGGGAAGGUAAACAGCGUUUCCGUGCCCUCUGGCUUCCAUCAUUGUGUUCCGUUGCGCCAGAAGCGGUUUAGUAAUGCUGGCCACAUGACCCGGAAAGCUGUCUGUGGACAAAAUGCCAACUCUCUUGACCUGAAAAGCGAGUUCAGCACCGCAACCCCAUAGUCGCCUUUGACUGGACUUAACUGUCCAGAAGUCCUUUACCUUUUUACCAUUACACUUCAUCUCUUACAUUCAAGUAAUUGUACUGGAACAGGCAUAUUUUAUAUUGCAGUUGGCCUAGAAAUGAAAGACACACAUUUGAGAAUGUUCUCGGGACUUAAGAGUGCUUUUCUCAUUUGCCUAUUCACGUGUUGUAUUGCUUUGGUAAUCAAGGUGUGUUCUUUAGUUAUCAUCUUGCCUUGCUAACAUGAUUUUCAUUUUUCUAACUUGGUUUUCAAUUUGUGUAUAUGCACACACAACUCCUUAACAUAGGUUAUUUAGGUAUCUGAUGGUAUUAGAGACCUUUUGCUACCUCUUGCCCUCUAGAGGUUUUGGAGUACAAUUUCCAUAAUCUCUGAGCACUGGUGAAACUAUCCAAGGGAGAAUACUUCUGUGCACAUAUGACUGUUUUGUGUAGCUUACAUUUGUUUGCAUUCAUGAGAUGGUAUUUACUGCAAUUCAAAGCAUAUCUGUUUAGAUAAAGUAUUUUAGAAAGGCAAAUGCCUCUGAAAUCCCAUCUCACAAUAAGCCUAAUAGCCUCAGAGACGCACAGCAUUCUGUGGCUAUGAUUUUUUAUAGAAAAUCAUUUUAACAUUAUCCCUGCCCCUUUAUGACCUUAGACUCUAAAGUGCUGCGAAUCUCAGAGAUUCUCUAGUUUAUUGUGACAUAAGCUCCUGCAGGUUUAUGAGCACAGAAAACAGGGAGGUACUCUUAGAGUUAAAACAGCUUUGCUGGCUGCUUGAGCCUAAAAGGAUUCUCUGGAUUGCUUUUUUAUUAUUUAUUGCUUUCUGUUAAAAAGCAGAAUUGAUUAACACUCCACACAGCAAUCAUGCACAAUUAUUCCAUCAAUCUAUACUGGAUUUUUAUAGUGGUUAGUCCCAUUGUUAUGCUUCCAUGAUAGCUUCUUUCAUUGAAAUAAUGGUUCUAGAAUGUUUGUUCUACUCUUAAGUUCUGAAAUGGAUAUUCAGGAAGUCGGGGUGGGGUGGGGUGGAAUCAUGAACAUUCUAUGUAGCAUUACAUAAAACUUCUCACUCUGGUGCAAUGGCAUCUGAAGCUGUUGGCACGCAGCUGCACAGUGUUGCAAUGACCUUUCCAAAUACUCUGUGAAUAAAAGGAGAAGAAACAUCAUUUCAGAUAACAGAUUUCACAAAUCCUCCCCCUAGGUUUCACAGAAUGAUCAGACGGUUUUAUAUAUUCAGCUAAUCUUUAUUACUUGAGUUGAAUAUCUUUCAGCUGCAGUCUUAUUUUAUUCCACGGUCAGAUAAGGAGCAGUCUUUCAGUAUUAGUCUGAACUGUUCCAGUUAUGCUGGAAGGCUAAUUAUUUAGCAUGUAGAGUGCUUUAUUUCUUUUUCUGUCUAUGUAUAAAAUCAAACAGAUGCAAAUAAACAGUAACCCCCUGCGACAGUAUUGAAUUGUUUGCCAUGCUAGAUUCUUGUGCUGGAAGCAAACACAGCAGCGUCUGGGCAGCUGCAGACAUAAUCUCGCUUGACCCUGCUUGGGUGGUCCGUAGAGCCGCCAGGCAGCAUCUCACCCUGGAGCUCCUCCACAGAUCCUUUAAAUAUACAUAUUAAAGGCAGCGGGAGCAAAUCCUUUGGCUCACCCAGGAGGGGGAUACUGAGCUGGGGUGAUCCAGAAAAGGAAGGUACAGCAUAUUGUUCCUGACAUCCUUUUGUCAAGGGCUAAGAGGAUAACAUAGCCUCCGGAAAAUGUGGCAACCUCAUCUGGUCCAUCGGUUAUUGUUAGUUUUCUAAGCAUAUGUCUCAAGCUGUGUCAUGUCAUUUAACAGAGAGCAGUUCUCUUUUCUACACUAUAUUAUUAGUAUGGCUUAAGAGCCAAUCUGUCUCCCUUUGAAUUCAAUAGAAACCUUGCCACUGGUUUUCAAUGGGGGAGAGGAUUAAGACUUAGCUGCUUAUACACAACAUACAAAUAAUAUUCAGUAGCUGAGUUAUGGUGAUAUACCUUGGUUACCAUUGAAAGAGCCUGUGAGAUUGUGGUUCCUUCGAAUCCUCUUAGUGGAGUAACAUAAUUCAGGAUUUUCAACUUUACAAUGGAAUGCAAAAAUCUGAGAAGAGAGAGCUUUUUCAGAGCUGUGGAUGGCAGCAAGGGAAUAAUAACUUUUGAUAAGUAUUAUAAAUCUUCAGUAGUGUACCAAACAUCCAGACCUUCCAAAUACUGAUUGUUCAUACCUGUCAUAUUUUCCAGGUUUGGACAGGAAGCACUCAGGUCGGCACUGUGAAAGUCCAUUUAAAAGCAUUAUCAAUGAAUGAAUAGUUAAAUGUAGGGCUGGCCCACCCAUAAGGCAAGGUGAGAUGUCUGCCUCGGGUGGCAGGAUCUACAGGGGCAGCAGAUCCCAAUGUAGAUCUUUAUUCCCCACUCCUCCUUCCUGAUUUACUCGCCCCUUUUUCACUGGCAGGGAGGGGGAUGCCAUCCUGCGACUUGCCUCAAGUGUCAAAAUGUCAUGGGCCAGCCCUGGCUAAAUGACACCUUGACUUUUUUGAUACUUCAAAUAUUCUACAACUAGUGAACACACAGCAGCAAAGUACAGCCUAUAAAAUAACCUAAUUUGAAAUUGGUGCUGCUCCAGUAUUCAGAUGAAAUGCCUUGUUGUCUCGGGGAUCAAGUUUUCUUUUACUAUCAUGUUUCCGACAUGUUUUCUACUAAUAGAAUCUUCAGUGGAUUUGUAAUAUGGUAGCAUGUUGGAACAACUUGUAUAAUAUUGAAAAGAGGUUACUAAUGUCCAAUUCUGAGGCCUGAUCCAGCCCCUCACCCCCCGCAAUUUUGUCUGCCCCCUCCUCCAAGAUGCAAAUGGUUUUGGUGGCAGUGACAAAAAGAGCAAACUUUUCUGUUUUCAGUUAUUUUGUUCAUAACCGAAUUCCCAUGCAUGUGUAGACACACAAACAAAGGUGGAUUGUCACAAGCUGUUUCUUAGCCUCAGUGCAAAUAGGCAAGGGGCUAGAGUGGUACCUCAGGUUACAUACGCUUCAGGUUACAGACUCUGCUAACCCAGAAAUAGUGCUUCAGGUUAAGAACUUUGCUUCAGGAUGAGGACAGAAAUCGUGCUCUGGCGGUACUGCAGCAGCAGGAGGCCCCAUUAGAUAAAGUGAUGCUUCAGGCUAAGAACAGUUUCAGGUUAAGUACGGACCUCCGGAACGAAUUAAGUACUUAACCCGAGGUACCACUGUAUUUUGUCAAUGAUGUGAGUGCAGUGACUAUGGCUCACGAACAUAGUGUAUUUCUGGAGUGAGAACAGCUCACCUCUCAUUCACCUCUUCUAGAAAUACACAGAAAAUCAAGGCAGGGGCAAGAAGAAGCUUGC